UCGAAGUUCAGAUGCCGUUUGCCGGGGUUAAUUCCCAACAGUGCUGCACCGAUUGUCGAUUCCGGUUAUCGAGAUAAUCGGAAAAAAAUCAUCGAAAUAAUCACUUCUAUCGAACAAAUACAAAAAAGACGAAAAUAAAUAAAUAAAGCAUUUUGAAUGUGGUGGCGUCAAUGCAAAACUUAAAUAAAUUUCGAAUAAAAACUUUUUAUAUGUGGUUUCGUAACGACAAGUCGGCAACUGCGAUAUCUUCAGCACAAAUACAUAUGCAUGCUAAUCAACGAAAAGCAAAAAAAAAAACAUACAAAAUACAAAAUAAAAACCACCAACAAACAACACCCAAAAGCCCGAAACACUGGAAAACCCGAUACGAAACAUGGCCAACUGAAGUGGCGAAGUGGAGGAUUGGUGGACUGGUGGAGUGGGGUGGCGAUGGUGUUUCGACUAGAAGGCUUAGCCCCACUCGAGAAAGAAACACAACCAGACCAGAGAUUCGGAUUCGGAUUCCGAUUCGAUCCGAUCCGAAAAGCGUCGAGAGUGAGCGGCGGUGGUGGUGCUCAAAACGUUCGCUUCGAAAACUUGUCUUCCCAGAUUCAGUUUGGAUUUCUUCUUCUUAUUGGAGCAGCAGCGACAAGACGAGACCGACAACAACACCAAAAUACAAAACAUGAAAGGAGGGCCCCCAAAAGCCGAAGUUGGCAAUACACUUGAAGUUUUCUUUGGAAAAAUACCAGAGGCCGAAAUAAAAUUAGCAGUUAUAUUGAUUGUCCCAGUUUCAAAAUUAAA